UUGACCCCGGUCAGGCGG
rnacentral:rRNA from 1 species